rnacentral:sRNA from 12 species
GAUCUAGUGUCCGAACUGUUACCGUAUGGUAUGCGUUUCUGAGGUUCCUCAGAAUAGGCACUAGAUCGAAC